UACGUAGGGUGCGAGCGUUAAUCGGAAUUACUGGGCGUAAAGCGUGCGCAGGCGGUUUUAUAAGCCAGAUGUGAAAUCCCCGGGCUUAACCUGGGAAUGGCAUUUGGGACUGCAAGGCUUGAGUGUGGCAGAGGGGACUGGAAUUCCUGGUGUAGCAGUGAAAUGCGUAGAGAUCAGGAGGAAUACCGAUGGCGAAGGCAGGUCCCUGGGCUGACACUGACGCUCAUGCACGAAAGCGUGGGGAGCAAACAGG
rnacentral:rRNA from 1 species